rnacentral:rRNA from 1 species
UGGGGAAUCUUGCGCAAUGGACGAAAGUCUGACGCAGCGACGCCGCGUGGGCGACGAAGGCCUUCGGGUUGUAAAGCCCUGUGGGGAGGGACGAACACUGAUUGUUCAAAUAGGCCAGUCAGCUGACGGUACCUCCUUAGCAAGCACCGGCUAACUCUGUGCCAGCAGCCGCGGUAAGACAGAGGGUGCAAACGUUGCUCGGAAUUACUGGGCGUAAAGCGCGUGUAGGUGGUCACGCAAGUCAGGUGUGAAAGCCCAGGGCUCAACCCUGGAAGUGCACAUGAUACUACGUGGCUGGAGUACUGAAGAGGAGAGCGGAAUUCCCGGUGUAGAGGUGAAAUUCGUAGAUAUCGGGAGGAACACCAGUGGCGAAGGCGGCUCUCUGGGCAGAUACUGACACUGAGACGCGAAAGCGUGGGUAGCAAACAGGAUUAGAUACCCCCGUAGUCC